rnacentral:lncRNA from 1 species
CCUAAGAAGAACCGCCCCCUGCCACUAGCCCAAGCCAGGCCUGCUUCUCUGGGGAGAGGAGGCACGGUAGCCCCUGACCCUAGCCGCUGCCCGACCCCCAGACCACAGCCUGCAAGAGGCUAACCCCUCCCUACUGCCCUGUGGCCCGCGCCCCCACCCCGUUGGUUGACGAGGCUGCCCCUGCCCGCACGUAUUUUGUAUUAUAAAAUGACUGCCGUCGCCAUGGCAACAUAAAAGGAGCCGAUCUCAUUACUGGGUCCUGGACACAUUAUUUUCUCCAAGGAAUUUCUUCUUUUCAUUAUUUCCCUCCAAAGCACUGAUCCUGACAGCCACCUAGAGCCGGGGUCCGCUUCCCAGCCACAGAGUCCUCCCAUCAGCUCAACUUUGGAACUGCGAUGGUCCCUGCUGGCAGAGGCUCAGAAGUAGCUGGUGGGGAAACUGCUGAAACGGAAGUGGUCCAGAGCGUCUGGGAAGCACCAGCUCCUGGUGGAAGGAGCUUCCAAGUGGGGUGAUAGACACGCAGGCACACCCCCUCCUCCCAUUUUCUAUAGUGGAAUGAUGCUUCUGACCCACCUUGAAGGGCUGGACCAAGGCAUCCGGUCAAAGUGCCCCCUGGAGAAGAGAAGAGCUGUACAUGCCCCAUGGCAUAUAAGCCUCAUGGCAGCAGAGACCAGGUUGGCGCUGGGUACAUUGACUCCAUUCGUGGUUGCUGACCGAGGCGCAGAGCAGUAAAAGGAUGAUGGAAUUUGGGCUGCUCAGCAUUGGCAGAAACUGGAAAAGUCUACUUAUCUUGAAGUGGAUAGUCUGGCAGAAAAAUACUGUCAACAGCCGUGUUCGUAGUCCAGUAUUAAUAACGACAAUAAAUGCAGUGCUAUUUAUCGAAGCA